rnacentral:rRNA from 1 species
GGGGGGGGGGGGGGGGGGGCUGGGGGCGGGGGGGGGGAGCGGGGAGGGGGUGCUGGGGUGGGGUGGUCGGGUGGCGAACGGGUGAGUAACGCGUGAGUAAGCUGCGCUUGACUUUGGGAGAACUUCGGGAAACUGGGGCUAAUACCGGAUAGGAGCUCCUGCUGCAUGGUGGGGGUGGGAAGGGUUCGGCGGUGGGGGAUUGACUCGCGGCUUAUCAGCGUGUUGGUGGGGUAGUGGCUUACCAAGGCUUUGACGGGUAGCCGGCCUGAGAGGGUGACCGGCCACAUUGGGACUGAGAUACGGCCCAGACUCCUACGGGAGGCAGCAGUGGGGAAUAUUGCACAAUGGGCGGAAGCCUGAUGCAGCAACGCCGCGUGCGGGAUGACGGCCUUCGGGUUGUAAACCGCUUUCGCCUGUGACGAAGCGUGAGUGACGGUAAUGGGUAAAGAAGCACCGGCUAACUACGUG